rnacentral:rRNA from 1 species
GAUGAACGCUAGCUACAGGCUUAACACAUGCAAGUCGAGGGGCAGCAUUAUCGAAGCUUGCUUUGAUAGAUGGCGACCGGCGCACGGGUGAGUAACGCGUAUCCAACCUUCCCCAUAGUAGGGAAUAGCCCGGCGAAAGUCGGAUUAAUGCCCUAUGUUGUAUUAUGAGGACAUCUGAGCAAUACCAAAGAUUUAUCGCUAUGGGAUGGGGAUGCGUCUGAUUAGGUAGUAGGCGGGGUAACGGCCCACCUAGCCGACGAUCAGUAGGGGUUCUGAGAGGAAGGUCCCCCACAUUGGUACUGAGACACGGACCAAACUCC